rnacentral:rRNA from 1 species
AGAGUUUGAUCAUGGCUCAGGACGAACGCUGGCGGCGUGCCUAACACAUGCAAGUCGAGCGAGAAACUUCGGUUUCUAGCGGCGGACGGGUGAGUAACACGUGGGUAACCUGCCUCAUAGAGGGGGAUAGCCUCCCGAAAGGGAGAUUAAUACCGCAUAAGAAGUAAUCUUCGCAUGAAGGUAGCUUUAAAGGAGAAAUCCGCUAUGAGAUGGACCCGCGGCGCAUUAGCUAGUUGGUGAGGUAACGGCUCACCAAGGCGACGAUGCGUAGCCGGCCUGAGAGGGCGAACGGCCACAUUGGAACUGAGAGACGGUCCAGACUCCUACGGGAGGCAGCAGUGGGGAAUAUUGCACAAUGGGGGAAACCCUGAUGCAGCAACGCCGCGUGAAGGAAGAAGGCCUUCGGGUUGUAAACUUCUGUUAAUGGGGACGAUAAUGACGGUACCCAUAGAGGAAGCCACGGCUAACUACGUGCCAGCAGCCGCGGUAAUACGUAGGUGGCGAGCGUUGUCCGGAAUUACUGGGCGUAAAGGAUGCGUAGGCGGAUAGUUAAGUGAGAUGUGAAAUACCGGGCUCAACUGGGGGGUGCAUUUCAAACUGGUUAUCUGGGUGCAGGAAAGAAAGUGGAUUUCUAUUGUACGGUGAAUGCGUAAUAUAGAAGACACAUGGCGAAGCGAUUUCUGGACGU